UACAGAGGAGCCAAGCGUUGUCCGGAUUGACUGGGCGUAAAGCGCACGCAGGCGGUUUCGCGCGGGGGGGGGGAAAUCUGGCCGCUUAACGGCCAGGCGCCAUCCCAUACGGCGCGACUGGAGGGCUGCAGAGGUCGAUGGAAUUGCCGGUGUAGUGGUGAAAUGCGUAGAGAUCGGCAGGAACACCCAGGGGGAAACCAGUCGACUGGGCAGCACCUGACGCUGAGGUGCGAGAGCGUGGGGAGCGAACCGG
rnacentral:rRNA from 1 species